UACGUAGGGUGCAAGCGUUAAUCGGAAUUACUGGGCGUAAAGCGUGCGCAGGCGGUUGUGCAAGUCAGAUGUGAAAUCCCCGGGCUUAACCUGGGAAUGGCAUUUGUGACUGCACGGCUAGAGUGCGUCAGAGGGGGGUAGAAUUCCACGUGUAGCAGUGAAAUGCGUAGAUAUGUGGAGGAAUACCGAUGGCGAAGGCAGCCCCCUGGGAUGACACUGACGCUCAUGCACGAAAGCGUGGGGAGCAAACAGG
rnacentral:rRNA from 1 species